rnacentral:rRNA from 1 species
AUUGAACGCUGGCGGCAGGCCUAACACAUGCAAGUCGAACGAGUGGCGGACGGGUGAGUAAUGUCUGGGAAACUGCCUGAUGGAGGGGGAUAACUACUGGAAACGGUAGCUAAUACCGCAUACCAUCGGAUGUGCCCAGAUGGGAUUAGCUAGUAGGUGGGGUAACGGCUCACAUAGGCGACGAUCCCUAGCUGGUCUGAGAGGAUGACCAGCCACACUGGAACAGAGACACGGGCGAGACUCCUACGGGAGGCAGAAGUGGGGAAUAUUGCACAAUGGGGGCAAGCCUGAUGCAGCCAGGCCGGGUGUAUGAAGAAGGCCUUCGGGUUGUAAAGUACUUUCAGCGGGGAGGCGUUACCCGCAGAAGAAGCACCGGCUAACUCCGUGCCAGCGGCCGCGUAAUUC